GACCGGGUCCUGUGCGAUCUGUCGGUGUGAACCUUGUCAGGGCCGAGAGGCAGCAGCAAUAAGCGCUGGGCGGAUGUGCUGCGGGGUUGCUCAGUCUGA
rfam:Faecalibacterium sp. CAG:74 genomic scaffold, scf417